rnacentral:misc_RNA from 1 species
GAUGAAGAACGCAGCGAAAUGCGAUAAGUAAUGUGAAUUGCAGAAUUCAGUGAAUCAUCGAAUCUUUGAACGCACCUUGCGCCCUUUGGCCAUUCCGAAGGGCAUGCCUGUUUGAGUAUCAUGAACACCUCAACUCUUCAUGGUUUUCCAUGAUGAGCUUGGACUUUGGGGGUCUUGCUGGCCUGUGGGUCGGCUCCUCUCAAAUGAAUCAGCUUGCCGGUUUUUGGUGGGCAUCACAGGUGUGAUAACUAUCUACGCUUGUGGUUUUCCACCAGGGUAACCUUCAGCAGUGGAGGUUCACUGGAGCUUACAAAUGUCUCUCCUCUGUGAGGACAGCCCUUUGAAUGUUUGAUCUCAAAUCAGGUAGGACUACCCGCUGAACUUAAGCAUAUCAAUAAGCGAGGA